CAGGCCUAACACAUGCAAGUCGAACGGCAGCACGGGUGCUUGCACCUGGUGGCGAGUGGCGAACGGGUGAGUAAUGCAUCGGAACGUACCCGGAAGUGGGGGAUAACUCUCCGAAAGGAGUGCUAAUACCGCAUAUUCUGUGAGCAGGAAAGCAGGGGAUCUUCGGACCUUGUGCUUCCGGAGCGGCCGAUGUCAGAUUAGGUAGUUGGUGGGGUAAAAGCCUACCAAGCCGACGAUCUGUAGCGGGUCUGAGAGGAUGAUCCGCCACACUGGAACUGAGACACGGUCCAGACUCCUACGGGAGGCAGCAGUGGGGAAUUUUGGACAAUGGGGGCAACCCUGAUCCAGCCAUGCCGCGUGAGUGAAGAAGGCCUUCGGGUUGUAAAGCUCUUUCGGCCGGGAAGAAAUCGCGUUGGCUAAUAUCCAGCGGGAUGACGGUACCGGAAUAAGAA
rnacentral:rRNA from 1 species